rnacentral:sRNA from 1 species
GCGGGUGCCUGUAGUCCCAGCUACUCGGGAGGCUGAGGCAGGAGAAUGGCGUGAACCCGGGAGGCAGAGCUUGCAGUGAGCCAAGAUCGCGCCACUGCACUCCAGCCUCGGUGACAGAGCGAGACUCCGUCUCAAAAAAAAAAAAACCGAAACCAAAAACGCUUGCAGGGAGAGAGAGAAGGGGUGUUUUGUUCCUCCCGGGAGGGCACACUUGGGGUGGCACAGAACUUGGGGGUGGGUGAGUGAGGGGGACAGGGGUGCUGCCUGCGCUUUCCCUGCCGUUUGAUGGCUCCUCUCUGCUGCUUCCUCCUCCAGAAGAAGAAAGGGAAAGAGUCUGGGCCAGGAGCUGGGCUGCCGCCGCCCCGAGCUCCUGCCUUGCCCUCUGAGGCCAGGGCUCCUCACGCCAGCUCCCUGACCGCUGCCAAAAGGAGCAAAGCCAAGGCCAAAGGGAAGGAGGUGAAGAAGGAGAACCGCGGCAAGGGGGGUGCCGUGAGCAAGCUGAUGGAGAGCAUGGCAGCCGAGGAGGACUUUGAACCCAACCAAGACUCGAGCUUCUCUGAGGACGAGCACCUGCCGC